rnacentral:rRNA from 1 species
GACGUAGGGGGCCAGCGUUGUUCGGAAUUACUGGGCGUAAAGGGUUCGUAGGCGGUGCGGCAAGUUGGGAGUGAAAUCUCUGGGCUUAACCCAGAGGCUGCUUCCAAAACUGCUGUGCUUGAGUGUGGGAGAGGCGCGUGGAAUUGCAGGUGUAGCGGUGAAAUGCGUAGAUAUCUGCAGGAACACCCGUGGCGAAAGCGGCGCGCUGGACCGCUACUGACGCUGAGGAACGAAAGCUAGGGGAGCAAACAGG